CCUACGGGGGGCAGCAGUAGGGAAUUUUGCGCAAUGGGGGAAACCCUGACGCAGCAACGCCGCGUGACCGAUGAAGCUUCUAGGAGCGUAAAGGUCUGUCGUAAGGGAAGAAAAGUUUGGAUGUAAAUAAUGUUUGAACCUGACGGUACCUUACAAGAAAGCACCGGCUAACUUCGUGCCAGCAGCCGCGGUAAUACGAGGGGUGCAAGCGUUGUCCGGAAUUACUGGGCGUAAAGGGUCCGUAGGCGUCUUAAAAAGUCAUUUGUUAAAUACACCGGCUUAACCGGUGACCUGCAUUUGAAACUAUUAAGAUAGAGUUUAGGAGAGGAAAGCGGAAUUCCUGGUGUAGCGGUGACAUGCGUAGAUAUCAGGAGGAACACCAAUGGCGAAGGCAGCUUUCUGGCCUAUUACUGACGCUGAGGGACGAAAGCGUGGGGAGC
rnacentral:rRNA from 1 species